rnacentral:rRNA from 1 species
AUGUCGGAGAAGUUUGUGCUUAUUGAGGACUAUAUUGAGGUGUUGCCUUUUACCGUUGCACACGAUGAUUUUGAUAGAUAUAAUAUGCAUGUGCUUGCUGCUCCUACUUGCAAUUAUUAUGAGAGAGGAACUAUAUCUUCACCUCUCUAUGUUUCCAACACGAUAAAAUUGCAAGAAACUGCUUAUACUAUGCCUUGGCCUUUACUUGGUGUGCAUGAAUUGUUCUUUUAUGACAUGCCGAUGCAUAGGAAGAGAGUUAGACUUCGUUGUUGCAUGAUAUAUGUUACUUUGUGCUCACUACUAAAUUACAAAUCAUUGUUAAUUAAAAUUGGCUUUGAUAUAGCUUGGGAUCCGGGUGAAUCUAUUGCUUGA